rnacentral:lncRNA from 1 species
CAAAAAUACUCCGAUCCUAACACAAUAAUGUGGUUAUGAUAGUUUCCAGGAAGACAAAACGAGAUUUGAUUUUUCAAAAACAAUUCGACACUCAAGUUAGAAUGAGACCGCAAAAUAUGGAGGAGCGUUGAGAAACUAAAAAAAGAAAGAAAAUUUUUAUUCAACUCAUAUUGAACGUCUUUUUUUUUUUUUCGUCGAAAUUAUAUUGAAUUUAAGAAAUCAUUACAAAGUGUUCGAGCAAUUGGCUCAGGAGGUGUUUCAGAGCUAGAAAUAGAGGAGAACCUAUACAACAAAGUUUUGCUCGUGGCGUCUCUGGUUUCCGGUGUAGCUAGCCGGUCUCUCUUCGCCUUUCUCCCUUUUCAGGUUUGUUGUUGGUCAGGUUCCUUGGCUUAGUCACGGAGCUUCUGUUCCUUGUUGUUCUCGGUCUCUCUUUCAUUGGUUUUCUCCAGCUUUCGGUCUCUAAGAAUGAGGAUUUCGGAUCUGCGGCACAAGUGGAGGCUUCCUCGGCUUCAGUUUGCUUUGCAAUUGUUUGCUUUUGGUUGUUUGCGUGGCGGUUAGGCUCGCCGUGGAGGAGUUUCUUCGGUUUAUGGCGAGUCUUUUCUAUCUUGUGGGAGGACGUUGGUGUCAGUUUCGUCUUCCGUCGCUGCUUGUUUGUAGCGCCUCGUCAGGUUCCCUUAUCUCAGUCCCGGUGGUUCGAUGUUGGUGUUUUCUUUUCGUGUAACAGUUUUGAAGGUGGGUGUCAUGUCCAAGUGGAGUCUUCGGGGGAAGAAUAGAGGCGGCGCUUUGGUCUUCGUGGCAUCGUUUACUCGUGGGAGUUUGUUCCUGUUGUUGUGAUAGGAAUGGUGACCGGAGGUGGUUUCUUUGGUUGCCCGUUGUUGCUCCUGUAACCGUCGGGUUUGUGUUUUAGUCCGCUGUUGUCUUUGCGUUUUUGCGUUAGUUUGCGGAGAAGCUAUAGGCGCCUUAUCCGGAGGCUUUGACGACUGGUCUCUGUAAAGGUUUGCUCGUGGCAACUAGGAUGGGACUCCAUCUCCUUGGUUCCUUGGACUUGUGGAAAUCACGCAAAUUUCCGCGUUUAGCAUUUCGGAAUCGGUGUUUCUUCUCUCGUUUCCGUUUUGGGUUUUCGUUAUCCUCUUUUGCUGUUUUUGUUAUUGUCUGUUUAUUCUGUAAUUUUUGGUUAUUUUUCGCUACUUGUAUUCCUUGUAAUUUCUGUCAAAACUUCGAAAAUGGUAUAAAUACUUUACAUUUUACCAAAAAAAAAAAACAAAGUUUUGCUCAGAGAUGCGCAACUUGAUUACAAUCUCUUCAGAUCCAUUGAACGUCUUAUUUGGGUUUAACGUUUCUGUUUGCAUAAUUGCAAUUACAUAAAUUACAUUUUGUAAAUAGCGUUUGAAAAAAAAUCAAAAGCAUUAUUUAUAAUGUUUGUACCUGAUUUUUCCAAAAGCAACAUGUACGUUUGAAACAAUAUAAAACAAAUUGAUUCAUGUAAACAGUGGGAAAUGAUAUUACUAAUAAAACAAAUAGCAAAUUGCUUACGCCGAGAUAAAAAAACAAACCAAAGUUUGAUAAGAUAGAUGAUCGUCUAGAUACUUCAUUGUGCUUAUAAUAUGAGUUAUAUAUAGA